GACGUAGGGCGCGAGCGUUGUCCGGAAUUAUUGGGCGUAAAGGGCUCGUAGGCGGUUUGUCGCGUCUGCCGUGAAAGUCCGGGGCUCAACUCCGGAUCUGCGGUGGGUACGGGCAGACUAGAGUGAUGUAGGGGAGACUGGAAUUCCUGGUGUAGCGGUGAAAUGCGCAGAUAUCAGGAGGAACACCGAUGGCGAAGGCAGGUCUCUGGGCAUUAACUGACGCUGAGGAGCGAAAGCAUGGGGAGCGAACAGG
rnacentral:rRNA from 1 species